rnacentral:rRNA from 1 species
GUAGCGGUGAAAUGCGUAGAUAUUAGGAGGAACACCAGUUGCGAAGGCGGCUCUCUGGACUGUAACUGACGCUGAGGCACGAAAGCGGGGGGAGCAAACAGGAUUAGAUACCCUGGUAGUCCACGCUGUAAACGAUGAGUACUAGGUGUCGGGGGUUACCCCCUUCGGUGCCGCAGCUAACGCAUUAAGUACUCCGCCUGGGA